AAUCUUCAGACUGCUUCUCGCAGUCAUUGCCCUGUGAGGGGCCAUUCUCCCACAAGCUGUCCCAGCUCCAAAACCCAAGUCCUAGCCUGUAUGUGCCGUAGGCAUAAUGUGUAGUUAGGGGGCGUUAUGCCUCUAACUCCAAGAAAGUACUGGGGGUCCUUACAUUAGCUAAUAUAUGGCUGCUAAAUAUACCUCCUGACUGUUGCACUGCAUGCCUGACUGAAAGAAUCCCCCAAUAAUCUCAGAAGAAACAAAUAAAAGAACCAGGCGAAAUAAAACAUUCUUCUCGGAAGGUUUGAGACUCAGUAUCUGGCCAACAUCCAGCAGGAGGAAAUCUCUAUUGUUCAUUAAAAUAUUUCUGUUCUAAGCACAAAGGUUAGCACAAAUGCCCUGUUAGUGGCAUUCAGUUUGCAUCAGGAUUUUUCAUUCUGCAUUAUGACAGCUUUCCAAGGCAGUAUGGUUUUGGGGAAUUAGGUUGGAUACUAGCCGCAAAAGAGCUUGAUUCUUUGUGAAACUCCUUGUCUCCCCAGUUACUUUGCUGCAUGACCUUGGGCAAAUGAAUCAUAUAUGUCUUAACUUCACCCUCUGUAAAAUGGGGAUAAUAUUUCUGACUGUUAGUAUCUUUCACCUGAGAAUCUCUGCAGUGGAAAGUAUUGUUAUUGCCAAAUUCACCAUAAGCAAUUCUUUUGGGUCCUUGAUAACAGCAGUAGAAUCAGUUAAAUGCCCUUGAUACAUUGCAUGGUCCCAGAUACCUUUCAGAGUCUCUUUGUGUGCUAUCCCACCCCCUGAGGUCUGAGGGGACAGGGAAUGCUGGAGUCUGGUUUUUUUCAGGAAGAGUAGUCUGUUUGCUUCUGGCCUCAGGACUGUGGACUGCUCUUCUUUUUGACAUGAGGACCACUGGAAUGAACCUCUUUUAAAGGAGGUUUUAAAUUAUGAAUCUCAGAAUGCCUUCAGCAGAUUGUGUUGCUUUAUAUAUUUAGUCAAUGAGCAGUUUGACUAUUUACCAGAUACUUUCUGUUUGGUGGAGAUAGCUGAGAAGAGCCAUUGCUUUAAUAGCUAUAUCGUCAACUUUUAACUCCGCAUCACAGUAGGGAGCAGCUCAAACAGAAAAAAAAACGGAUAAAGAUUUUUCAUUCACGAAAAGGUUAAAGGCGUUUCCCCAUCGCAAGAGGGAUUAUCUUACCAGAGGAUUCUGGGACUGCAGAUGUAUACUGCGGCAAAAUCCUAAAUUCAUCGGAAAAAAAUCAUUUCCAGACCCCAGCUGCCAAAAAUAAUAGAAUUAUAGUAAAUCAUUGAUAAGAUUAAAACAUAAACCCAUUUUUACAUUCUAAAGUGUUUUAAAACAUGAGUCUUUUCUCUCAAUUCAUUUCUUAAAUAAUGCAAAUUUUAAAGUAGCUUUCCUAUCCUAAGCACGCAGCGCCAUGAAAUCGAUAAUUUUUGAUCUUUUGGUUAGUAGGCAACAUGGUGAGCUAUUGCAGUGACUGCAGGCAGCAGACAUGUUCUUGUCAGCUAAAAAUUUUCAUAUUGUUUUUGAGCCAUUGAGACUUGUAGAUGGGAUAGAGCCAGUUAUACCUUCAGUUCGCACUUUGCUGUCGAGACGUAAAACAGCACAGUUUUAGAUACACAUAUAGAUAUAGAUUUUAAAAACAAGAAGCAUUACUGGAUUUUAAACAAAAAAUUAUGUAAAAAGAAUGGCUGGUGUGAUUAUAAUCACAUCAUGCAGGGUCCACGGUUUCCAUUUAGUGAAAUUUCGCAGAGGGCAACUUCUUAAGAACAUCCCUGCUGUGCAGAGUGAAAAGCAUGAACAAACCAAAGACAGAAUUCAUCUGUGUUUAUAUUUUACAGACAAUGAAAAACCUACUCUUUGUAUGCCUUUUUUUCCACCUUAUUAUUUCAUGAAAACUGCAGCAUUUUCCCCACCCCCAUCCGAAUUCUCACCACCCAGCACUGCGGUGUUCGGUGUUUCUUUCUCUCUUUUUUUCCCUCCCUCUUCUUCUUUUUUGCUUUCACAAAUUCUGCACGCGCCAUCUUUGUCUAUUGUUAUUCUUUUCUAAUUUCAGUUACCCAUUCUCUUUCAAAUCAGUUAAUAAAUAGAAUGCUAAAUGCCUGAUGAAUGCUUGCGUGUUUAAUUUUGUUCCCCAUUUUGCUCAAAAAAAUACACCCCCCCACCCUACCCCAAGAAUUUUCUAAUAGUACCGUAACCUGUUGUGUGUAGUGGUUAUAAAAAUAUUAACAUAAUAGCAACAGCUGCAGCCUAAAUAGAAGCUAUGAGAUAAUUAAUGUGCUACAACAAAUUAAUUUGCUGCAGGUGCUUGUGCUCUGAACUGCGUAACCCACGCCAUUUCAAGUCUGAGUACAAUUACUAUUCUCUCCACAUGCUAAAACAAAAUGCAGAGCGAAAAUAUCUUGUUGUUAUAAAUAUCUUGUGUGUCUGUUGUCAAAGACCAUCCUCCCUCCUGCACGUUUGAGCCAUCGGUAGAGAAGAGUGGAACAGGCAAUUAAAAAACUCUAAUAGAAAUUUAUAUAUAUUUAAAGACGCUCCUGUGAUAUGUCUAGGCUUGAAGAUGUAAUGUAUGCCUAUAUAUUAAAUUACACCAAUCAUCUCUAACCUGUAUUCCAGUGCUUUGUGGGUAAAGACAUACUGAGGUAUUGCAUAUGUAUAAUUGGGAAGGUGUAGGUUGUAAACAUCUCAAUAGUAACUGAUGCAAAUUUGUAUAUUUUCCAUUUGCUUUAUAGCAGAGAAAAGCAAUUGUAUUUGCAGUUCAUCUUAUGGAAUCUGCAGUGAAUUAGAUGAAGAAUUUUACUCUCCUCUCUGAUAAACAGUGUUAAUGGGAGCCAGUUACUAGUUUACCUUUAAGAAAUAUGCCAAGUAACACACUGCAGCUCCGGAAGGGUACAAGGACAGGAAGCUGAGUGAAGCUAAACCGCCCAGAUACAACUAUCCAUUUUCAUUCUUGCGCUACAGUGUGAAGACUAACUUUGUGCAUGUAAAAAGAACAUACAGAUAUGAUUGCCUUAAAUCUUGUGAACAAGCUUAACUAAGGUUGAAGUUUAGAACUAAAUUGUUCUGAUUUUUCUUCAUUAACAUUCUAUUAAUGGAAAAUAGUUUUCUGUCUUCAUUACCAUGAUGCACCCUGCAUGCUUUUGAAUAUGUAAUUAAGGCUAAGAAUGAUAUAUUGUGUAUUUUAAAAUACUGCUGGUUCGCUGAGUAAUCUUAAAAAAUGUUAUUCUGUAAUCUAAAUAAAGUAAUAAUAUGUGUAUCUUAACAGGGAACUAUAAAAUUAAUUUCCUGAAGACUGCAUAGAUUUCAUCUGUAUUUUUGUUUAACUUACCAGUGAGCACCUGCAGGGAAACUUGAUGCUGAAACACUACUUGCACUGUGCUCUGGCUGCACAUUUUUGAGCCAUUAAAAAAAUAUACUUAAAAGGUCUGAUGAGGUGUCCUUACUCACACUAGUCAAUGCUUACGGACAUGAGUAGUCCUACAAAAGUAAUUUGGAUUACUCAGGUGAACAA